GCCUGGGUGGCUCAGUUGGUUGAGCAUCUGACUUCAGGUCAUGAUCUCCCAGUUCGUGGGUUCAAGCCCUGCAUCAGGCU
rfam:Felis catus isolate Cinnamon breed Abyssinian chromosome A1, whole genome shotgun sequence.